UAGUAAGGUGGCUGAACAAAUCCCGAGGCCUGAGUGCCUCCUUGGGAUUCUCCCAUUCCCUCUUCUGACAUACUAACUCCCAAACUGCCAUCCCUCCUCUGCUCUACAUCCAUAUCAUCCCCCAUAUCCUCUGACGCUCCUCCCUGAACUGUUCCUCUGACUGAUCUGCUUCUACCCAGAUCCAAAGACCUUCUAGGGUCUCUUACUGC
rnacentral:lncRNA from 1 species